ACAAGGUUUCCGUAGGUGACCUGCGGAAGGAUCAUUAACAAAUGGACGUGUAUGCCUCUGCGCAUAUCACUCUUUAAACCCACACCUGAGUACCUUUCCUGUUGCUUCCGCGGAGCGGCGCCUCUUGGGACGCCACCGAUGGGAGGGAGCCUGGCUCCCACCCAUUGCGAUAGACUUCGCGGGAGGUAUACAUCAAACCCUUUUGCAUUUCCAUGUCAUCUGUCUGAUACUGUUUAUAACAAAUGUUAAAACUUUCAACAACGGAUCUCUUGGUUCUCGCAUCGAUGAAGAACGCAGCGAAAUGCGAUAAGUAGUGUGAAUUGCAGAAUUCAGUGAAUCAUCGAAUCUUUGAACGCACAUUGCGCCUUCCGGACUUGUUCGGGAGGCAUGCCUGUUCGAGCGUCAUUAAAACCAUCUCAAGCUCUUUUGCUUGGUUAUGGUGGAAGAGCGAAGCCCUGGCGCAUCGCUCCCCAUCGAAAUCCAACGGCGGAAAGCCUUGUGGCUGCCACGGUGUGAUAAGUUAACCCUUUCACCUGGUGUCCAAGGCGGUCCUGCCCUCAACCCCCAUUCUUUCUUAGGUUGACCUCGGAUCAGGUAGGGAUACCCGCUGAACUUAAGCAUAUCAAUAAGCGGAGGAAAAGAAACCAACAGGGAUUGCCUUAGUAACUGCGAGUGAAGCGGCAAAAGCUCAAAUUUGAAAUCUGGCGUCUUUGGCGUCCGAGUUGUAAUUUGGAGGGGCAUCUUCGGAGUUGGCGCCGUCCUAAGUUCCUUGGAACAGGACGUCACAGAGGGUGAGAAUCCCGUGCCUGGAUGGCUGUCCAGCUCCAUGUGAAGUGUCUCCGACGAGUCGAGUUGUUUGGGAAUGCAGCUCAAAAUGGGUGGUAAAUUUCAUCUAAAGCUAAAUAUUGGCGAGAGACCGAUAGCGCACAAGUAGAGUGAUCGAAAGAUGAAAAGCACUUUGAAAAGAGAGUUAAAAAGUACGUGAAAUUGUUGAAAGGGAAGGGCUUGAGACCAGACUCGGCCCGUGGUGAUCAGCCGUGCUUCUGUGCGGUGCACUUGCCAUGGGUCGGGCCAGCAUCGGUUUCGGCGGUGGGAUAAAGGCCUGAGGAAUGUGGCUCCCUUCGGGGAGUGUUAUAGCCUCGGGCGUCAUGCCGCCUGCUGGGACCGAGGACCGCGCUUCGGCUAGGAUGCUGGCGUAAUGGUC
rnacentral:rRNA from 1 species